rnacentral:rRNA from 1 species
CCAGACUCCUACGGGAGGCAGCAGUGAGGAAUAUUGGUCAAUGGUCGGGAGGCUGAACCAGCCAAGCCGCGUGAGGGAGGAAGGUACAGAGUAUCGUAAACCUCUUUUGUCAGGGAACAAAGGCGGGGACGUGUCCCCGGAUGAGUGUACCUGAAGAAAAAGCAUCGGCUAACUCCGUGCCAGCAGCCGCGGUAAUACGGAGGAUGCGAGCGUUAAUCGGAAUUACUGGGCGUAAAGGGUGUGCAGGCGGCUGAUUAAGACAGAGGUGAAAUACCCGGGCUUAGCCUGGGGACCGCAUAUGUGACUGCUUGGCUAGAGUGCGUCAGAGGGAGGUGGAAUUCCUCGUGUAGCAGUGAAAUGCGUAGAUAUGUGGAAGAACACCGAUGGCGAAGGCAGCCUCCUGGGACGCAACUGACGCUCAUACACGAAAGCGUGGGGAGCAAACAGGAUUAGAUACCCGUGUAGA